rnacentral:rRNA from 1 species
GAUGAACGCUGGCGGCGUGCCUAAUACAUGCAAGUCGAGCGGCAGCACGGUCUUCGGACUGGUGGCGAGCGGCGGACGGCUGAGUAACGCGUAGGAACGUACCCCAAAGUGAGGGAUAAGCACCAGAAAUGGUGUCUAAUACCGCAUGUGGUCUAAGGAUUAAAGCUUCGGCGCUUUGGGAACGGCCUGCGUAAGAUUAGCUAGUUGGUGAGGUAAUGGCUCACCAAGGCGACGAUCUUUAGCUGGUCUGAGAGGAUGAUCAGCCAGACUGGGACUAAGACACGGCCCAGACUCCUACGGGAGGCAGCAGUAGGGAAUUUUCCACAAUGGGCGAAAGCCUGAUGGAGCAACGCCGCGUGCAGGAUGAAGGCCUUAGGGUUGUAAACUGCUUUUAUAUGUGACGAAUAUGACGGUAGCAUAUGAAUAAGGAUCGGCUAACUCCGUGCCAGCCGCCGCUGUAA